rnacentral:rRNA from 1 species
CCUACGGAGGGCAGCAGUGGGGAAUAUUGGACAAUGGGGGGAACCCUGAUCCAGCCAUGCCGCGUGUGUGAAGAAGGCCCUCGGGUUGUAAAGCACUUUCAGUGAGGAAGAACGCCUGGUGGUUAAUACCCAUCAGGAAAGACAUCACUCACAGAAGAAGCACCGGCUAACUCCGUGCCAGCAGCCGCGGUAAUACGGAGGGUGCGAGCGUUAAUCGGAAUUACUGGGCGUAAAGCGCGCGUAGGUGGCUUGAUAAGCCGGUUGUGAAAGCCCCGGGCUCAACCUGGGAACGGCAUCCGGAACUGUCAAGCUAGAGUGCAGGAGAGGAAGGUAGAAUUCCCGGUGUAGCGGUGAAAUGCGUAGAGAUCGGGAGGAAUACCAGUGGCGAAGGCGGCCUUCUGGACUGACACUGACACUGAGGUGCGAAAGCGUGGGUAGCAAACAGGAUUAGAUACCCCAGUAGUC